UACGAACUGUGCAAACGUUUAUUCGGAAUCACUGGGCUUACAGGGUGCGUAGGCGGCUUGUUAAGUAGGGUGUGAAAGCCCCCGGCUCAACCGGGGAAUUGCGCCCUAAACUGGCGAGCUGGAGUGAGAUAGGGGUGUGUGGAACUUCCGGUGGAGCGGUGAAAUGUGUUGAUAUCGGAAGGAACGCCGGUGGCGAAAGCGACACACUGGAUCUUGUCUGACGCUGAGGCACGAAAGCCAGGGGAGCGAACGGG
rnacentral:rRNA from 1 species